AUUGAACGCUGGCGGAAUGCUUUACACAUGCAAGUCGAACGGUAGAGGGGGCAACCCCUCGAGAGUGGCGAAUGGGUGAGUAAUAUAUCGGAACGUGCCCAGUCGUGGGGGAUAACGUAGCGAAAGUUACGCUAAUACCGCAUACGAUCUAAGGAUGAAAGCGGGGGAUCGCAAGACCUCGCGCGAUUGGAGCGGCCGAUAUCAGAUUAGGUAGUUGGUGGGGUAAAGGCUCACCAAGCCAACGAUCUGUAGCUGGUCUGAGAGGACGACCGGCCACACUGGAACUGAGACACGGUCCAGACUCCUACGGGAGUCAGCAGUGGGGAAUUUUGGACAAUGGACGCAAGUCUGAUCCAGCCAUUCCGCGUGCAGGAUGAAGGCCCUCGGGUUGUAAACUGCUUUUGUACGGAACGAAAAGGUCUCUCUUAAUACGGGGGACUCAUGACGGUACCGUAAGAAUAAGCACCGGCUAACUACGUGCCAGCCGCCGCGGUAA
rnacentral:rRNA from 1 species